rnacentral:rRNA from 1 species
GAUGAACGCUGGCGGCGUGCCUAAUACAUGCAAGUCGAGCGAACAGACGAGGAGCUUGCUCCUCUGACGUUAGCGGCGGACGGGUGAGUAACACGUGGAUAACCUACCUAUAAGACUGGGAUAACUUCGGGAAACCGGAGCUAAUACCGGAUAAUAUAUUGAACCGCAUGGUUCAAUAGUGAAAUACGGUUUUGCUGUCACUUAUAGAUGGAUCCGCGCCGCAUUAGCUAGUUGGUAAGGUAACGGCUUACGAAGGCGGCGAUGCGUAGCCGACCUGAGAGGGUGAUGCGGCACACUGGAAGUGAGACACGGUACAGACUCCUACGGGAGGCAGAGGUAGGGAAUCUUCGGAAAUGGGCGAAAGCCUGACGGAGCAACGCCGCGUGAGUGAUGAAGGUCUUCGGAUCGUAAAACUCUGUUAUUAGGGAAGAACAAAUGUGUAAGUAACUAUGCACGUCUUGACGGUACCUAAUUAGAAAGCCACGGCUAACUACGUG